UUCCUGUGCCACAGCAACAGAGCUCCAGUUGUGUCUUGUAAGAAUUGGUCAUUGUUUCAUGGGGACGACUGGCUCCUUUGGGUGGGAUCUGAUGGCAUCUCAUGGAGUUGAGGUCUGCUGCAGUAAUGAAUACAUAUAGAAAUAUAUAUAACUGUCGAGGCAGAGCCCUUCAUAACAGAGCUCAGUAAAGGUGUGUACCUGGCCCAGGAGUUGGAGAAGCUUCAGGAGGAUCCAUCCAGGGGAAGGUGGAACAGUUGCAGGCCCAGCUGCUGUCUCAUGCAAGAGGUGAUCCAGCAGCGAAGAGACAUAUAUAAGGAUAUGGUAGUACUAACAGGAAACCUAGAACUUUAGCUUUCAAGACAUGCUCCUGAUUCUCUUUGUGUAGAAGCAGCCUAGAUUGAAUCACUGCCUUCUUUGCCUGUUGAUUCAAUGGCAUGAGUCAAAGCGGUCAGGUGGCACUCCAGAUCAACCGAGUCAUCAUAUGUCCCCUGACAGAAGAACUCCUCCUUUUGGAACUAAGACCUCUUUACCACCCGAGCCUGAUGUCACAGGGACUGGAAGCAAUCGUUUGUUAGUGAACUGCUAGGGAUAAUAGUGAGAAGAUCCUGUCCUAUUUCCACCCCUUGAUCCCCGUACGCAUGAGUUCUGGCUAAGGAAGAAACAGAAAUAUAUGUUGGAUGCUGAUCUAGAGCAUACUUUGCAUCCUAAAAGACCAUACAUGAGUCUCCAAAAGGACAUUCCACCAUUCUAUCAAGCCAGCUGCUUCAGGGUGACGGGGAACACGAGAAGACUGAUGUCAACUUUUGUCUCGUAAUACACGAAUCUAUGAGUUUCUCUCAGAAAAUGGUUGUCUGCCAACGCUAACUGGCCAGCUCUGACAGGAGGUGCGUGGCCCAGGAGGAGCCAUCAGGCCAGUUCUCUGGGAUACUGCUGUGUCUCCAGCUCUGCAGUUUGCUCUUCGUCACUCAGCGGCAGACGGAGAGGCAGACACGAGCCCCUUGUGAGCCCUCCUCCUUACCGUCAUCUCACAAUGCUCUGAAAUAAGGAGGCAAAUGGCUGAGGUCCCCUCAGUUAAUAACUGGAUUACAAAAGGCAAGUCAUGUUGUCAACAGCCCGAGAUAUGUGAGGAAACUCUCUGAUGAAGGCCUAUGCCCAAAUGUCCUGAAAUGGAAAUCUGAGACCUGUAGAUGUGAUUGAGUUCUAUCUACCAGAAGCAUAUGCCUCCUGGAAGCCUGGUUCUAACACCUCCCACAAAAUCCUUCAAGCACUUUUUUCUGUUCCAAGGUUUGCUUAUGGGGGACCCAGUGAAGUGCUUCAGAGCCCUAGAGAUUUGCUGAGUCAUAUGAGGGGUCAGCAAACUUUUCCUGUAAAGGGUCAGAUAAUAAACAUUUUAAGCUUUGUAGACUGU
rnacentral:lncRNA from 1 species